rnacentral:rRNA from 1 species
AACGUAGGUACCGAGCGUUAUCCGGAUUUACUGGGCGUAAAGCGCGUUCAGGCGGUUUGGCAAGUCGGGCAUGAAAUCUCUCGGCUCAACCGGGAGAGGUUGUCCGAUACUGCUGGACUGGAGGGCAGUAGAGGGUGGUGGAAUUCCCGGUGUAGCAGUGAAAUGCGUAGAGAUCGGGAGGAACAUCUGUGGCGAAGGCGACUGCCUGGACCAGCACUGACACUGAGGCACGAAAGCGUGGGGAGCAAACAGG